AGUUUGCAAAAAGGUUGGCCUCUUCCUGCUUCCCGUGGAUGUGGAAUGGCAAGCCGAAUAUUGCAUUUGCAGGAAAUUACUUUGUCAUAAAAAUACUAAUGCCGCCCCUUGGCAUUCCCUUCCCUUCUCAAUUUCUUCCUCCUCGAAAUCGCCCUGCACAUCCACUUCUUUCCAAGCAUGUCAGGUAUCUUUCUUUCUUUCUUAAUUUUCUCUCUCUAACAAGCUUCCCUUGUUUUAUGAAACUUUCCAAUACCUUUCUCUCCAUCCAUCUCUUCAAUUUCUUUGCAACAUCGAAUAGAUCUGCUGCAGUCAUCUCUUCGGCAUCGAUGGUUCCCGCCUUCCUCUCCAUCCAUCUCUUCAAUCUCUUCGCAACAUCGAAUCGAUCCACUGCGGUCUUCUUGUCGAUCCUGCCUUCCUCUGCACUCUUUCUUCCCCCAAAAUUUCUAAGUCCAACCCCAUCGCAGUCGAUUCCUUCAAAGCUUCGAAAGGUGAAAGCCACCGCAACGACUAAGGUUUCUCUCCCGCAUCCCUACCCCACCGGCGACCGGUGAUAAGCAACCAAUCUACAACGACUAGGGUUUCUCUCCCGCAUCCCUACCCCACCGGCGACCGGUGAUAGGCAACCAAUCUCCUACCCGACCAGCAUUUACCAUUCGAUGACAAGCCUUCCCAACUGGUGUUUGGCGACAGGUGUUCUUUUCAACCAGCAUUUGACAAGGAGCAUCAUUCUCAACCAGCAUCCGACAAUGAAACCCAACCAGCAUUCAGAGCUAAACAGAAUAAAGAUGGGUGGAAGCCAGGAACAAAAUUAGGAUGAGGUGGGAUCAAAGAGUGAUAACAGCUGCAGCUCAUAUGAUCUUGCCAACUCUUCAUAUUUCCGGAUUAUGGCCUCUGAUCCUUGUUACAGUUGUUGGGCUGUCUUAAUAUUCAUGCUACACAAUUGUUCCUCAGUUACAGAUGUUGACUGGGUUAUCCAUAUUAGUGUUUGUAUUUUACCUCUUUGUAUACUUCUUGGAUUUUCUGUAUUAAUGUUUUUCUCUGUUACUCUUUUUUCCUUUUUACUUUUGGAACUGAUCCUCUUCUAUUCAGUGAUGUUACUGUCUGUGUUGGGGCUCCAUCCUAACCUUUUGUCUAUUAUUUAUAUUUGUGAAUGAAGUUCCUCUUCUCUACCAAAA